GACGAACGCUGGCGGCACGCUUAACACAUGCAAGUCGAACGGAGUUGAUUGGAGCUUGCUUGGAUUAACUUAGUGGCGGACGGGUGAGUUACACGUGAGCAACCUGCCUUUAAGAGAGGAAUAACAGUCUGAAAAGACGGCUAAUACCUCAUAACAUAACGAAGCAGCAUGACUUUUUUAUCAAAGAUUUAUCGCUUAAAGAUGGGCUCGCGUCUGAUUAGCUUGUUGGUGAGGUAACGGCCCACCAAGGCGACGAUCAGUAGCCGUACUGAGAGGUAGAUCGGCCACAUUGGGACUGAGACACGGCCCAGACUCCUACGGGAGGCAGCAGUGGGGAAUAUUGCACAAUGGAGGAAACUCUGAUGCAGCGAUGCCGCGUGAGGGAAGAAGGUUUUCGGAUUGUAAACCUCUGUCUUCAGGGACGAUAAUGACGGUACCUGAGGAGGAAGCUCCGGCUAACUACGUGCCAGCAGCCGCCGUAA
rnacentral:rRNA from 1 species